rnacentral:rRNA from 1 species
UACGUAGGGAGCAAGCGUUGUUCGGAUUUAUUGGGCGUAAAGAGCGCGUAGGCGGCUUGGCAAGUCCGUUGUGAAAUCUCACAGCUCAACUGUGAAACUGCAGCGGAAACUGCCUCGCUAGAGUGCGGGAGAGGAGAGUGGAAUUCCCAGUGUAGAGGUGAAAUUCGUAGAUACUGGGAGGAACACCGGUGGCGAAGGCGGCUCUCUGGACCGCAACUGACGCUGAGGCGCGAAAGCUAGGGGAGCAAACGGGAUUAGAUACCCGUGUA